rnacentral:antisense_RNA from 1 species
CUUCAGGGCGCCCAGCCACAGCGGCCGGUCGGCCGCCCUGUUCUGGCCGUACGUGGCGAGCAGCGCCUGGGCCUC